GUCUGCGGCCACACCACCCUGAAAGCGCCUGGUCCUGGAAGCUAAGCAGGGUUGGACCUGGUUAGUACUUGGAUGGGAGGACUGCGUUCACAGCUC
rnacentral:rRNA from 1 species